GGUGAGGGAGAAAGGGUGAGGAGACAGAGGAAUAGAUUACAAAUUUGUUAAGAAAAGUUGGUUAUGAUGAAAUUUCAUUCUUAAAAAUCCAUCAAAUCAUGCUUAAAUUUGUGAUUUUUGUAAGUUACUGAAUUAGGAGACGUUUUCUAGUGGAGAAAACAUCGCAGCGCAGAGGAAAAUUAGGUUUUGUUUUGCAAUUUGCACCACCAAAAUAUCCACGUGAAGAGACUGACUAUUCAAGCUUUGCAACUUAAUUCAAGGGCGUUAAUCAGUAUAUAAGGCUAUUCCAUUUGUAAUGCUUAUUACUUGCACUUCUAGCUUUCCCCUUAUUAAGAAAACUUUAUUAAUUGCAAUUGUUAAAUGUUAUUAGGGUGAGAAAGAGAUCAUCGAUUUGAAAUGAGCUUUUUAUUUCUGGAUGACAAGCUAUACACAAGAAGGUUGAAGGAGUCAGCGAUGAAAUUUUGGAUGCCAAAGAGAAGAAGCCUGGAAAGAUGAAAAGGGAAUAUGAGAUGAUAUUGAAGAAAGCCUUGCAAAGCAUCUGCUUGCUUAAUUCAGAUG
rnacentral:sRNA from 1 species